rnacentral:rRNA from 1 species
UACGUAGGGGGGCUAGCGUUGUCCGGAUUUAUUGGGCGUAAAGAGCGUGUAGGCGGCCAAGUAGGUCCGGUGUGAAAACUCGAGGCUUAACCUCGAGAUGUCAUCGGAAACCAUUUGGCUAGAGUCCGGAAGAGGAAAGUGGAAUUCCUGGUGUAGCGGUGAAAUGCGCAGAUAUCAGGAAGAACACCAAUGGCGAAAGCAGCUUUCUGGGACGGUA